rnacentral:tRNA from 1 species
GGCUGUGUAGCUCAGCUGGCUAGAGCGUACGGUUCAUACCCGUAAGGUCGCUGGUUCGAUCCUAGCCACAGCCACCA